ACCUGGCUGCCUCAGUCAGAAGAGCAUGUGACUCUUGAUCUCGAGGUUAUAGGUUCAAGCCCCAUGCUGGGUA
rnacentral:tRNA from 1 species